rnacentral:lncRNA from 1 species
UUCUGAAUAACGGGGUGUUUCUAAGUGCGAGCUGGACAUCUGCGCCCCGUGUGGCUCGGCGUGCAGCCAGAGGGCCGGCCCUGAAGUGAGGGCAAUGGGUAUGCAGAGCCCUGUCAAUGCUGGAAAGAGACCAUGUUUUCAUCUUCUCCCCUGGAGACCCGGCAGCCACCACGUUUGCUCUGCGACCUGUGAAGACAACCCCUCUGGCAGGACACCUGGAGUCCCAGCUUGGCAGGAGUCUCCCUUCAACCAGGAAAAUGCAGUGUGCUGACUCUCUGCAUGUCGACCGGUCUGCAACACGGCAUCUGGAUGGGACUGAGCCAUGGGCUGGAACACUGUACUGAAAGACUGCCGGGUUUCGGAG